rnacentral:piRNA from 1 species
UCGAUUAUUUAUUAGAAAAUA